UCUGGUGCCCAGGUAGAGAAGGCCUUGGUUUGACCUAGCAAAGGAUAGACAAGGAUAUAUAAGGAAAGCAAGCCUCUACAAUAAACUGAUCUGAUAUCUCUGGAGGAGAGAAUAGUAUAGCUUAGCAUAAUAUAGUUUUCCCUCAUUUAAUUUCUCUCUCUCUAUCUAAUUCUUAGAUAAAUGUCUGUAAAUAUAAAUUAGGUAGAUUAGGGAGAAGUCUGGGAUUUCCUUGGAACGACACGAACAGUGAGCUACACGGAUUGGAAAACUUGAUUUGAGCGAAAUGCUUAGAGAUUGAAGGGCAUUGACAGAGUUUCUUCUUAUCUAUUUUAUUUCCUCUAAUUUUGUAAUCCAUUAAUGUUGUCUUUAUUGCUACUUAUAUUUUGUUCAAUAGCUAUGAACUGAGUAUUUGCUCUAAGGUUAUAAUGGAACCCUUUGUUAUUUAAAUUGAUUGUCUUAUCUCUUUGGUUGGCACCAUAUGAUUUGGUUCAAUAAAUGUAUGCUUAAUGAUUCUCGCUAAGACAUUAGUGAUGAUUUUGGUAAUUUACAUGAUAUCGACAAAAGGAUUGUAGAUUUACACCUAUAUAUAUUGGCAUGUAAUUGUGGGUUUCGACUACAUAAGUUGUGCGUAGAAUAAACAUAUAUAUGUGCGCCACGAGCAACCUAUUUAAGAACUUAUACUUAAAUCCUUGUUAUGUUUAAUUCGUAUAGACAUGUGUAGGGUUGUAUCUAGUUUGGACGUUCUUUUCUAUUCUAUUCCAUAUCGGGUGGAUCUGGAAAGGAUAUGUUCGUGCAUACCUCGACAAAGGUGUAUGGGCACCUGUGUGUUCUUGGUCGACAGAUUGUCGUGACCAUUAAGAUCAAAGAGAGAAGGGUAGGAAGUUUGAUGAAGCAUAGCACGCCAGGUGUUCGACAGAAUGCCUGUGUGGGGCAAAGUUGUAACCUUAGCUAGUAAUUCCUUCGACUACCAUUCGUUAUCCAUUUAUUUUCUUUUAUAAUUAGUUAUACAUAGAUUAAUCACAUUUCCAUUUAUUGUUGUUCGAAUAAGACUUUAGCGAUACAAAGUCGGUAUUUGGUAAAUAUUAGUGAUAGUUCCUCGUGGGUUCGACACUUUCCUUAUCACUGUAUUACUUGUUAGACCGCGUAUACUUGCGCGUGUUUAGUGAUCGAUUUUCUGACCAACAAGUUUUUGGCGCCGUUGUCAGG
rnacentral:lncRNA from 1 species